rnacentral:rRNA from 1 species
AUUGAACGCUGGCGGCAUGCUUUACACAUGCAAGUCGAACGGUAACAGGCCUUCGGGUGCUGACGAGUGGCGAACGGGUGAGUAAUGCAUCGGAACGUACCCAGAGGUGGGGGAUAACGCAGCGAAAGCUGUGCUAAUACCGCAUGUGAUCUGAGGAUGAAAGCGGGGGACCGCGCAGCAAUGUUUGGCCUCGCGCCUUUGGAGCGGCCGAUGUCGGAUUAGCUAGUUGGUGGGGUAAAGGCCUACCAAGGCGACGAUCCGUAGCUGGUCUGAGAGGACGACCAGGCACACUGGGACUGAGACACGGCCCAGACUCCUACGGGAGGCAGCAGUGGGGAAUUUUGGACAAUGGGCGCAAGCCUGAUCCAGCAAUGCCGCGUGCGGGAAGAAGGCCUUCGGGUUGUAAACCGCUUUUGGCAGGAACGAAACGGUGUCCGCUAAUACCGGGCGCUAAUGACGGUACCUGCAGAAUAAGCACCGGCUAACUACGUG